AGUGUGAGAAAGAGUUGAAAAUUCAUUUUUUAGCCUGUGAUUAUGAGUUGUCCUAGCAUCAUAUGUUGCAAAGACUCUUCUUUCUCCAUUGAAUUGUCUUUGUGACCUUGUCAAAAAUUAAUUAACCAUAAAUAUAAAGAUUUAUUUCUGGACUCUCAAUCCUAUUCCAUUGUUCUAUAUAUCUAUCCUUAGGCCAGUAUCUUCCAGAGGCAAAAGAUCAUCAGGGUGGCUUUUAGCAGUGGGAAUCCCAGAAGAGCCCACACGGCACCCAGUGGAGAGUCGUUUCAGAGAGUGCAGAGCCAGCUCCCAUGAUACCAGUGAAGGACCUUACAGAUGGGACAAGAGGCCCAGGGAAAUGGAGGACCUGACUUGCUCACACAGCAGAAUCAGAACUAAGACCCAACCAUCCUACCUCUCAACUGAGAGUAACUUCUGCCAGAUCACAGUAUUUGGACACUUAGUGUGUUUUGAAGUUGGAGAAGAAAUCCAAGACCAAACAUGUACUGGGGUUUAUUUUCCACCACCUCAGUGGCUUCCAGUCUCCAGCUUCUGAGUCUUUUCGUUUGUUUUUGUUUUUUUGAGACAUGGUCUCACUUUGUCACCCAGGCUGUAGUGCAGUGGUGCGAUCUCUGCUCACUGUAGCCUUGAUCUCCCAGGUUCAAGUGAUCCUCCUGCAUCAGCCCCCAAGUAGCAUGGACUACAGGCACAUGCCACCAUGCCUGGCUAAUUUUUGUAUUUUUAGUAGAGAUGAGGUUUCACCAAGUUGCCCAGGCUGGUCUUGAACUCCUGGACUCAAAUAAUCUGCUUGUCUUGGUCUCUUAAAGUGCUAGGAUUACAGGCGUGAGCCACUGCUCUGGGCCUGGCUUCUGAGUCUUUUUGCCAGAGGUCUUCAAACCCACACCUGGGGCAGGCCAAAAGCACUGGAGGCUUCAUUCCCCAGGAGCAAAGCUUAAGCAGUGUGGGUCGGGAAUGGGUGGAUAAAUGCCCCUGAUUCGUCCCCACUUCCGUGAUGUCAUGAUUCUGGGGUAUGUGUUUUCUGGUGACUCAGAGGCUCCUUAGCAGAUCUGAUCCCCAGUGACUCUCUGGUUAAUGUGCCCUUCAUGAACUUCCCUCCUGCCCUCUGGCACUGCCCUACUUCCUCAUUAUGCUUUCUGAGAUUAUCUCUCAAAUAAAUUAUUUAUACUCAAAUCCUUCCUUCAGGACCUUCUUCUGGGGAAAAGCAAACUAAGACCAUACUUACAAGAAAAGAGGAUACCAGG
ensembl:lncRNA